rnacentral:rRNA from 1 species
AUAUGAUGUGUUGGUAUGUUAGACUAAGCUUUGUAGUUUAUUUUUAAAAUUUUUGUAUGUGGGACAAAGGAAAGGGGGGGCUUUAGAUUAUUUUUUUUUGUUUUUUGGUAUUGCAUAUCGUUGAAGGACUAUUUUAUUGUUUAUAAUUAAUAGAAAUAGAAGGUGGAGAAAUUUAUGAUUUUAUUGUUGCAUGAUAGGAGUUAUUGUUUUUUGUUUUGAUAUAACGUCUUUUAUGAUAUUUGUUAUUUUUGUUUUUUUUAGAAAAUUGUAAGUUUUGUUUUAUGUUUAGGAUUUAUAUGAUUUGAAGUUUUUUUAGUUUUAGUGUUAUGACUUUUUCUUUAUUGUUGUUGUUUUUUGUUUAUAUUUUUAUUAAUAUUUUGAUAAUUGUAUAAUUUUUAAUUUAGUAUAUUUUUAAAUGGGAUUAAUUUUUGUAAAUUUGGAUUUGAGAACUGGGUCUAUAAUCAAAUGUUUAUUAAAGACUGAGAUGUUAAUUUAAUAUUGUCCUCUGCUCUAUGAUGUUUAAAUGGCCGCCUUAGCGUGAGGGCAUGAAAGUAGCAAAAUAAUUUGUGCUUUUAAUGGGUUCGAGUAUGAAAGGGGGCUUGGUUAUUUUUGUUUUAUUUUUAUUUAGAAUUACAAGGAUGUUUAAUAAUUAAUAUUUGUAUUUUAACAAAGAUAAGUCUUCGGAAAUUCUUUUAGUUGCUGUUUUUUUUAUAUAGUAGCUAUGUUGCUUAGGGCAAGUUUUUUUAUAAGGUGGUUUACUAGGUUUAUAGUAGUGAGUUACUCCGGAGUUAACAGAAAAUCACAUUUUUUCUAGAUGUUAUAGAUGAGAGGGUUUUACCUCGAUGUUGUAUUCUGGCUGGCUAAAGGAGUAGUAA